AUUGAACGCUGGCGGCAGGCUUAACACAUGCAAGUCGAGCGGGGUGAUGGUGCUUGCACUAUCACUUAGCGGCGGACGGGUGAGUAAUGCUUAGGAAUCUGCCUAUUAGUGGGGGACAACAUCUCGAAAGGGAUGCUAAUACCGCAUACGUCCUACGGGAGAAAGCAGGGGAUCACUUGUGACCUUGCGCUAAUAGAUGAGCAUAAGUCGGAUUAGCUAGUUGGUGGGGUAAAGGCCUACCAAGGCGACGAUCUGUAGCGGGUCUGAGAGGGUGAUCCGCCACACUGGGACUGAGACCCGGCCCAGACUCCUACGGGAGGCAGCAGUGGGGAAUAUUGGACAAUGGGGGGAACCCUGAUCCAGCCAUGCCGCGUGUGUGAAGAAGGCCUUAUGGUUGUAAAGCACUUUAAGCGAGGAGGAGGCUCUUUUGGUUAAUACCCAAGAUGAGUGGACGUUACUCGCAGAAUAAGCACCGGCUAACUCUGUGCCAGCCGCCGCCGUAA
rnacentral:rRNA from 1 species